rnacentral:rRNA from 1 species
CCUACGGGAGGCAGCAGUGGGGAAUAUUGGGCAAUGAAGGAAACUCUGACCCAGCAAUGCCGCGUGAAUGAAGAAGGUCUUCGGAUUGUAAAGUUCUUUAGUCAGGGAAGAAUAAAUUGACGGUACCUGAAUAAUAAGCUCCGGCUACCUACGUGCCAGCAGCCGCCUUAAUACGUAGGGAGCAAGCGUUGUUCGGAAUGACUGGGCGUAAAGGGUGCGUAGGCGGUUAUACAAGUUAGAGGUGAAAUACCCAGGGCUUAACUCGGGGGAUGCUUCUAAAACUGUCAGACUUGAGUGCAGUAGAGGUGAGUGGAAUUCCUAGUGAAGCGGUGGAAUGCGUAGAUAUUAGGAGGAACACCAGAGGCGAAGGCGGCUAACUGGACUGCAACUGACGCUGAGGCACGAAAGUGUGGGGAGCAAACAGGAUUAGAUACCCGAGUAGUC